rnacentral:tRNA from 1 species
GCCGCGGCGAUAGCUCAGUGGGUAAAGCGCCAGGUGAGUAGAUGGCGAUUACGCCGAGAGCUAUUAUCCGAGCGGGUUCGAAUCCCGCCUGUGGCA